CCGCUUCAUUUCUCUUCCAUUCGCACAUAUCAGAAACAAAUCUUCCUUCACUUUCUGAUCCUUUGCAUUGCUUUCAGCAUUGAAGAUUUGACUUGCACCAUCACUUUACGUCAGGAAAUUGUAACAUGCAAGUUGAAGACCAAAAUUUCAAAAGUUCAGUGGGAGAAGAAGCUGAAAAAUUGACGCCCGUCCAAGCUGCUGAACUGACCGAAACAAACAAUCAGCAGGCUAUGAAUUUACUCCAUCAUAUAACACAAGCAAUCCAAUGAAAAACACUUAUGUGUUUUAUUAAGAAAGCAACUCCAAAAGAAAAAGCAAUCAAAGGAACACCUUUCACCAUUGUCACAAGCUAUGAAGCUGAACAACUUGUAGCUGGCCAGCAGACUUCAAUGAACCUUCACAAUGAUCAUGCAUAAAAUUAAUGUACUUCAACUCAGUCUCUUUUGUGUUAAUGUACUUCAACUUAGUUCUUUU